GAUGAACGCUGGCGGCGUGUCUAAUACAUGCAAGUCGAGCGAACAUACUAGGAUCUUUCUUCUGUGACGUUAGCGUCUGACGGGGGAGGAACACGUGGAUAACCUACCUUUAAGACUUGGAUAACUUCGGGAAACCUGAGCUAAUGCCGGAUAAUAUAUUGAACCGCAUGGUUCAAUAGUGAAAGACGGUUUUGCUGUCACUUAUAGAUGGAUCCGCGCCGCAUUAGCUAGUUGGGCAGGUAACGGCUUACCAAGGCAACGAUGCGUAGCCGCCCUGAGAGGGUGAUCGGCCACACUGGACCUGACACACGCUCCAGACUCCUACGGGAGGCAGCAGCAGGGACUCUUCCGGCAUGGGCGAAAGCCUGACGGAGCACCGCUGAGUGAGUCAUGAAGCUCUUCGAAUCCUAACACUCUGUUAUUAGCGAAGAACAACUGUGCACGUAACUCUGCACGUCUUGACGGUCACUAGUCAGAAAGCCACCGCCAACUACGUG
rnacentral:rRNA from 1 species